rnacentral:rRNA from 1 species
AUUACCGAUGAUAUUCGUCCAACAACUACACAGUUGUACCUUGUGAACCGUACCAAACUAUUCAGGGGUCGGCUUGUCCGUUAAAUGGUCGUCGGACGCGAGAGAUCGCGGCCGCUCGACCGGCCCCGCACGCGUUUUGUUUUUUAUAAACAUAUGUGUACCUGUCUGACCAAGCGUUGCGGCCGGCCCAAGGGUCGGUCGCGACAAUUAGAGCAAAAAACGAGAUACAACUUUUGACGGUGGAUCUCUUGGCUCACGCAUCGAUGAAGAACGCAGCCAGCUGCGAUAAGUAGUGUGAAUUGCAGAAUUCAGUGAAUCAUCGAAUCUUUGAACGCAAAUGGCGCUCUUGGGUUCUCCCAGGAGCAUGUCUGUCUGAGUGUCGGAUAUCAUCCAACGCACGCCAGCGUGCGGAAUUGAGGCGUCACGGUCCGUACUGCACGGACCGUGUCCCUUGAAAGUCAGAGAGACUCGCCGCGUCGCGGGAAGAUUCCCCGUGCACACCAGCGGAGGCUAAAAUGUCUUUUGCCCUUCGCGUGCCGGGAAGUCGCCGCGUGCGGCGGUCGUCGUCGGGCGAACUUUAAUUAUCUUGACCUCAGAUCAGGCAAGGCUACCCGCUGAAUUUAAGCAUAUUAAUAA